rnacentral:rRNA from 1 species
UACGUAGGGGGCGAGCGUUAUCCGGAAUCAUUGGGCGUAAAGAGCGUGUAGGCGGCCCGGUAAGUCCGCUGUGAAAGUCCAGGGCUCAACCCUGGGAUGCCGGUGGAUACUGUCGGGCUCGAGUCCGGAAGAGGAGUGUGGAAUUCCUGGUGUAGCGGUGAAAUGCGCAGAUAUCAGGAGGAACACCAAUGGCGAAGGCAGCACUCUGGGACGUGACUGACGCUGAGACGCGAAAGCGUGGGGAGCAAACAGG